rnacentral:rRNA from 1 species
CUACGGGACGCAGCAGUGAGGAAUAUUGCGCAACGGGGGAAACCCUGACGCAGCGACGCCGCGUGGAUGAUGAAGGCCUUAGGGUCGUAAAAUCCUGUCAGGUGGGAAGAAGUGGAUAUAGAUUAAUACUCUAUUUCUUUGACGGUACCACCAAAGGAAGCACCGGCUAACUCCGUGCCAGCAGCCGCGGUAAUACGGAGGGUGCAAACGUUGUUCGGAAUUACUGGGCGUAAAGCGCGCGUAGGCGGUUUGUUAAGUCAGAUGUGAAAGUCCAUGGCUCAACUAGGGAAGUGCAUUUGAAACUGGCAGACUUGAGUACUGGAGGGGGGGAUGGAAUUCCCGGUGUAGAGGUGAAAUUCGUAGAUAUCGGGAGGAAUACCGGUGGCGAAGGCGAUCACCUGGCCAGAUACUGACGCUGAGGUGCGAAAGCGUGGGGAGCAAACAGGAUUAGAUACCCCUGUAGUC